CGGGAGAGUUCGACCAUUGCCGUGGUCGGCGCCGAAGGAGCAAUCGCCCCAAAAAACUCUCAGGCAGAUGGACCGUCGC
rnacentral:ncRNA from 1 species